rnacentral:rRNA from 1 species
GACGAACGCUGGCGGCGUGCUUAACACAUGCAAGUCGAACGGAAAGGCCCUGCUUUUGUGGGGCGCUCGAGUGGCGAACGGGUGAGUAACACGUGAGUAACCUGCCCUUGACUUUGGGAUAACUUCAGGAAACUGGGGCUAAUACCGGAUAGGAGCUCCUGCUGCAUGGUGGGGGUUGGAAAGUUUCGGCGGUUGGGGAUGGACUCGCGGCUUAUCAGCUUGUUGGUGGGGUAGUGGCUUACCAAGGCUUUGACGGGUAGCCGGCCUGAGAGGGUGACCGGCCACAUUGGGACUGAGAUACGGCCCAGAGUCCUACGGGAGGCAGCAGUGGGGAAUAUUGCACGAUGGGCGGAAGCCUGAUGCAGCAACGCCGCGUGCGGGAUGACGGCCUUCGGGUUGUAAACCGCUUUCGCCUGUGACGAAGCGUGAGUGACGGUAAUGGGUAAAGAAGCACCGGCUAACUACGUG